AGGAAGUGCUGCUCUUAGUCAACAGUUCCUGGAGAAGUAAGCUGUCUAAAUUUGACAGGACACUAAGACACUUGCGAAGAUGAGUGUCCCCGACUACCUGCAGUGUGCCGAGGAUCAUCAGACAGUCCUGGUGGUGGUCCAGCCGGUGGGCAUUGUCCCCGAGGACCAGUUCUUUAAGAUCUACAAACGCAUUGCCAGCGUGAGCCAGGUGAACAUCAGGGACUCUCAGCGUCUGCUCUACAUCCGCUAUCGCCAUCACUACCUGCCUGAGAACAACGAAUGGGGUGACUUCCAGACGCACCGCAAGGUGGUGGGUCUCAUCUGCAUCACCACGUGCGCCUCAGCCAAAGAGUGGUCCCAGACCGCCGAGCGCUUCCACGGCCAGAAAGAAGUGUACAGCUCCACCCUGUACGACUCGCGGCUGCUGGUGUUUGGGCUGCAGGGAGAGAUCGCGGAGCAGCAGCGGACAGACGUGGCCUUUUAUCCCAGCUUUGAAGACAGCACUGAUGUGGAGAAGAGAGUGGAAGACUUCGUUGAGUCCAUAUUCAUCGUCCUGGAGUCCAAGAGGCUGGACCGGGCCACGGACAAGUCGGGUGACAAGAUUCCUCUGCUGUGUGUGCCGUUUGAGAAGAAGGACUUUGUGGGUUUGGACACAGACAGUAGACAUUAUAAAAAGCGUUGCCAGGGGCGGAUGAGGAAGCACGUCGGGGACUUGUGUCUCCAGGCCGGCAUGCUGCAGGACGCUCUGGUCCACUACCACAUGGCUGUAGAACUGCUCAGAGGGGUUAAUGACUUCCUCUGGCUAGGUGCUGCGUUGGAGGGCUUGUGUUCAGCAUCUGUUAUAUUUCACUACCCUGGAGGCACAGCAGGAAAGACAGCAGGACGCAAGCCAAGCCUUUCUCAGCCAGCAGACGCCGGCAAACGCCACAGACCAGGAGCUCAGGAGGUUCUCAUUGAUCCAGGCGCCCUCACAGCCAAUGGCAUCAGUGCAGACACCAGCACUGAGAUUGGACGAGCCAAGAACUGCCUGGGUCCAGAGGACAUUAUAGAGAAAUACAAAGAGGCCAUCUCCUACUAUGGAAAGUACAAGAAUGCAGGUGUGAUCGAGCUGGAGGCCUGCGUGAAAGCGGUCAGGGUGCUGGCCAUUCAGAAGAAGGCCAGAGAGGCCUCGGAGUUUUUGCAAAAUGCUGUCUACAUCAACCUGGGGCAGCUCUCCGAGGAGGAGAAGAUCCAGCGCUACAGCAUCCUGUCCGAGCUCUACGAGCUGAUCGGCUUCCAUCGCAAAUCGGCUUUCUUCAAGCGCGUCGCGGCCAUGCAGUGUGUGGCUCCCACCAUCCCCGAGCCUGGAUGGAGGGCCUGCUACAAGCUGCUGCUGGAGACGCUGCCUGGAUACAGCCUGUCCCUGGAUCCCAAGGACUUCAGCAAAGGGACUCACAGAGGAUGGGCAGCCGUACAAAUGCGCCUCCUGCAUGAACUCGUGUACGCCUCACGUCGAAUGGGCAACCCCGGUUUGUCCGUACGCCACCUGUCCUUCCUGCUGCAGACCAUGCUGGAUUUCCUGUCUGAUCAAGAGAAGAAAGAAGUGACGCAGAGUCUGGAGAACUACACCUCCAAGUGCCCAGGUGGGAUGGAGGUCAUCACGCUUCCCGAUGGACUGAAGCUCCCUCCGGUGCCCUUUACAAAGCUUCCUAUUGUCAGAUCGGUGAAGCUCCUGAAUCUGCCCGUCAGCCUACGGCCGCACAAGGUGAAAGGCCUGCUGGGACAGAAUAUGUCCACUGCCAGCCCCUUCAUCUACUCACCAAUCAUCAUGCACAACAGAGGAGAGGAGCGCUGCAAGAAGAUCGACUUCCAGUGGGUUCAGGGGGAUGUGUGUGAGGUGCAGCUCAUGGUCUACAACCCCAUGCCCUACGAGCUGCGAGUUGAGAACAUGGGUUUGCUGACCUCUGGAGUGGAGUUUGAAUCUCUGCCCGCCGCCCUGUCUCUGCCUGCCGAGUCUGGACUCUACCCUGUCACUCUGGUCGGCGUCCCUCGGACAGCUGGCAACAUCACAGUCAAUGGUUACCACACGUCGGUGUUUGGAGUGAGCAGCGACUGCCUGCUGGAAGCCUUACCGGCUGUGAAGACGAGUGGCUGUUUGGUGGAGGUCGUUCCGUCACUUCCUCGCCUCCAGCUCACCACGUCGUUACCACGGUCAGCGCACACUCAACAGCCCAUGUCCAAGGAGGAACUCUCCAGCUCGGUGUCGCUCCAGCUUUUCAACGGAGAGACCCAGCAGCUGGUCAUCACCCUGGAGAACAUUGGAUCCGAAGACAUAGAGUCGCUGGAACUCACCUCGAAGACCGUCACCACCAAAGAGAAAGUGUAUGGCCAGUUUCUGAGCUGGGACAUGGAGGAGGCUUUGCCUCACAUGCCCUUAAAACUGGGCCAGGCUGUGACGCUGACCAUCAACAUCAAGGUCCAGCUGGACUUCUCUGGUCAGGAGAACCUGCUGCAGGACCUGAACGACGAUGGCAUCAGUGUCACCGGCCUGCCAAUCUCCAGCCCAUUACGCCAAGUCCUGAAACCCAGGUCUGAGACCAAGGCGGUCAGCACCGAGUCUGGCAAAGCAGAGUACAGCCACAUCAAGACUUUGGAAGCAGUGCUAAACUUCAAGUACUCUGGUGGAGUGGGCAAAGUGGAGGGCUACUAUAGAGAACUGACUCUGGGAAUCCAUGUUGAUGUGGAGCCUUCUGUGUUCUUCACCAGAGUCAGCACCCUUCCAGCAACCAGCACACGCCAGUGUCACCUCCUGCUCGACAUCUUCAACCCCACAGAGCAUGAGCUUACAGUCACCGCCAAGAACAACCAAGACCUGGUUCUCCAUGCAAGUGAAUGUCAAAGCAGCCGAGGUAACACAAACACCAGGUUAAUAACUGCACUAGGACUGCACCGGAGAAUUCUUCCACAGCUAUCUCCCCCCCAAUGUAAUUGGCCGAAAGGACUCCCCAGUACACAGAACGCCAUAACAUUGCAAGGGCACGUGAUGGGCGGAUUGGGUGAAAGGACGCCGCCUCCGCAGUUGCGGCAAACAGAGGGUUAAAGAAGUCAGCAGCGGUCUAAAAAUAGACUCUUGCUCUCACUCGCAUCUGCACAGCCCUCCGUGGAUCUGGGCCCUAAAGCUUCUGCACAAUCUCCUUCCAAACCUAAGGUGUAUUUAAUGUUCCAAAGCUCCAGGCAGUGGUCAGAUGAAAGCAACCCCACGUGCUUUAAUGUGUUUAACAUGUACUCUCAGUCUGAUGCAACGCAGUCUUUAAUAAGAUGAGGGUCAUUACACUGUGACCGGCUCAUCCUCAGCCGGUGAUACGACCGCCAUUAGAAGAGGCUUCGCUGUCAACGUUUCCUGGAGGAUGGUUGUAAUUAGAAUUACGGUGUCAGAAGUCACACGGUGAUAUUUGGUGGUACAACCGUGGUCUGCUUUAUUAUUUUUCAUUGUGGAAUAAAAAAUGUAUAAGAAGGAUCUUUUUUUUUUUGCCAUUGAGGCCAGUUGUCGGUCUGUUUGUCAGCCAAUGCUUUUUUUUUUUUUUUCCCCAAACCCAUUGUUAAGGUGGUAGCGGUCUGGUCAUACACACUAACUUACUCUUCGCUUUUGAUUAAACACACAUUUUGGGUGAAAUUAUUGCAUCGUUGCCAAUCUGUCAUCUGCUCAGGCUUCCGUUUUCAUCCUGCAAAAUAAGCGGCCAGGCGGUUCUCUUAUCAGUGAGAUGGCGGGAAGAUGAACUGGGAAUUAAAGUGAGAGAUGUUCCAUGGUGGCCCCAGCUCAGCAAACAGGUUGUUAUUAAAAGCCUUGUAAUAGGCUAGAUCAGUCCGCUGAUAUGGCCUAAUCCUCCAAGGGCCGCAGUCAAACCACUGGGAAAUGGAGGCAGUGGGAAUAUUACUAUAAUACUAUAUAAGUAUUACUAUAUACUCAGUGUAUAUACCAUACUGCUAUAAUGAAAACGCUUUAGCUGCAUCGUGUUUUUUCUGUUGGAAGCGUCACUCCAGACGCCUGGUAUUUGACAGUAAUUACUCGGUUCGAAGAAAACCAGUCCUGGCCGCCCACAUCUAUGGUCCAUUUCCAUUGUCACACCUUGGUAUUUUUAGACCUGGUGAGUAACGUAUGCUUUUGAAGGUGGACUCAAUGAGAAACAGAGUCCAUUUGAAGAUGAGACUUCAGUCGGUGACAUGAACCGUGUGUCACUAAUUUUCAAAGGACGGUGGCGUCGAGCGCGCUCCGGCAGGACGAGAAGCGUCACUUUAGCGUCUCGGUCUUGAAGUCCUAAUUCUUAUUUAAUUUGCGUUCUGCUUUGUGGCGACGGCUGCGAAAAUGAUAAUUACAUUGGCUUCUCUUCUUUAUCUCACUUUGAUGUGUUUGUGUUCGCUGUCGUGUGUGUGUUUUUUUUUGUUUGUUUUUUUGUUUUCUUAACCAGACAUGGUCUUUUGUUGUGUAAUUUCAUUAGGGUUUGUUAUCCUGUCUGUAAGUCCUUUUGUAGGUGGGAUUAUUGUUGAGCCCCUCCCUAAGUGGUUGGAUUCAAAGCUAAGGUUUUUGAAAAAUUCAAUUGAACUUUGUUUCUCCUAC